AGUGGGGAAUAUUGGACAAUGGGCGCAAGCCUGAUCCAGCAAUGCCGCGUGGGUGAAGAAGGUCUUCGGAUCGUAAAGCCCUUUCGACAGGGACGAUGAUGACGGUACCUGUAGAAGAAGCCCCGGCUAACUUCGUGCCAGCAGCCGCGGUAAUACGAAGGGGGCUAGCGUUACUCGGAAUUACUGGGCGUAAAGGGCGCGUAGGCGGCUCGACCAGUCAGGCGUGAAAUUCCUGGGCUUAACCUGGGGACUGCGCUUGAUACUGUUGGGCUUGAGGCCGAGAGAGGGUGGUGGAAUUCCCAGUGUAGAGGUGAAAUUCGUAGAUAUUGGGAAGAACACCGGUGGCGAAGGCGACCACCUGGCUCGGUACUGACGCUGAGGCGCGACAGCGUGGGGAGCAAACAGGAUUAGAUACCCUGGUAGUCCACGCCGUAAACGAUGUGUGCUGGAUGUUGGGGUCCCUAGGAUCUCAGUGUCGUAGCCAACGCGGUAAGCACACCGCCUGGGGAG
rnacentral:rRNA from 1 species